rnacentral:rRNA from 1 species
GCAUAACGCGAAGAACCUUACCCACCUUUGACAUGUACGGAAUCCUUUAGAGAUAGAGGAGUGCUCGAAAGAGAGCCGUAACACAGGUGCUGCAUGGCUGUCGUCAGCUCGUGUCGUGAGAUGUUGGGUUAAGUCCCGCAACGAGCGCAACCCUUGCCAUUAGUUGCUACGAAAGGGCACUCUAAUGGGACUGCCGGUGACAAACCGGAGGAAGGUGGGGAUGACGUCAAGUCCUCAUGGCCCUUAUAGGUGGGGCUACACACGUCAUACAAUGGCUGGUACAAAGGGUUGCCAACCCGCGAGGGGGGAGCUAAUCCCAUAAAGCCAGUCGUAGUCCGGAUCGCAGUCUGCAACUCGACUGCGUGAAGUCGGAAUCGCUAGUAAUCGUGGAUCAGAAUGUCACGGUGAAUACGUUCCCGGGUCUUGUACACACCG